GUAUACUCUAUUCCCCUUACCUACCCCAUUCUCUAACCCCAACCAUCACAGAAACCCUUCUACUACUUCACAUUUUCAAGAAACAUAAUUCUGUUUGAUUUAUAAGCUUGUUUUCUCAUGGGGACCUCAAAAUGUCCCCACAAGGUCACAAAAAUACUGGUAGUCCUAUCUUUGUGGGGACAAUUGGUCACCACAACGUGAUAAUUACCAGGUACACACAUACACAUAAAAUUUUCAGUACACACAUACAAACCACACUCUGACAUCCAUACCAACACACCCACACAAUUAUAGCUUCAUAAUAUAUCUACGGUAAUUGACUCUAUAAUAUGCAUCAGCAGAAAACAACAAAGCGAUAAUUUGCUUUAUAUGCCAAACCUAAAAAAAUGGCACCAUCUGGUAAAAAAUAGCAAAAAUUUAAAUUUUGAAGCCUUGCCAACAGAAUGAAAGCCUGUUAACAAAGAUUGCAUCAUUUUAUAGUUGAAUGGCACCGGGAUUAAAAAUUGCAGUUUUAAUGGAUUUCAAUGUGGACAUUUUUGUCCAAAAGGCCCUGAGAGGAAGUAUUUUGUGUACCUAGUAGAAAAUAGAUUUUUUAAAGUACACUGUAACAAAUUUCUGUAGUUUUCACAGCAUUAUUACUGUAAAAUGAGCAAAUGCUUACUGUAGAACUUGUAUACAGCAUGUUGCUGUAGAUCUGCAAAGCAUCAUGGUCUUUUUUCAACGGCAGGUAAAUUCUACAGUAAAAAUAUUUUUCCUGUGAAUCACAAUACAGCAAUUUCUAAAGGAUUUUUUUCUUCAGCCAAGGAAAGCUACGAGAUUCCACACUUUCAUCUGAAUUUUUACUUCAGAAAGGGUUGAUGACGUAUGCGAGUGCGACCUCCGCAGGCUGAAACCAGUCUCUCGAGCUGAAAGAAAACGCAGCUGAGGAGAUAUGAGGAAACUUCCACCUACAGUAAGCAGAUGCUGAGGCCCAGAUUUCCAUGCUAAGCACUCCAAGGCUCAUCAUGCUUGGAGAGUCCAAUCUGAGGGCAAAAAAUGGAUGCUUUCCAUCGAGUGCAGAGUUCUCCUCCAAUUGAGUGACGGUUGUGAUUUCACUUCUGCUAUAGCCUUUUUUGUGUCAUACUAUGUAUGAGGCAGCCACUACAUUGGAAUUUAUCCAGAGGGUGGAGUCCAGCCCAGGAAGUCAACUAGUUCAUGUCCAGAUUUAAAAGAAUAAUAUUUCUGAAAAAAAGGUCUUGGAGAAAAACAAUAUUCAGGUUUGAAAUCCUGCUGUAAAUGUAAAUCAUUUAACUUUUAUGCAUUUGUAAUUUACCAGAAACUUUUUAAUAAAUAUUGAUUGUUUUGUGUGUUCAGAAAAAAAGUGUUUUUGUAUGUUCAGAAAAGUGUUGAAAUUAAAUGAAACAUUCACAGAAAAAUGUUAACAUAUUUAAAAAAAAUGUAUAUGUUCAAAAAAGUUUUGAGAUGUUCACAGAAAAAAUGUAACACAAAAAAAUGUAUGCUAUG